rnacentral:misc_RNA from 1 species
GAUGAAGAACGUAGCGAAAUGCGAUAAGUAGUGUGAAUUGCAGAAUUCAGUGAAUCAUCGAAUCUUUGAACGCACCUUGCGCUCCUUGGCAUUCCGAGGAGCAUGCCUGUUUGAGUGUCAUUAAAUUCUCAAGACCUGUCUGCUUUUUUGAUAGGUAUUGGAUUUUGGGGGUUGCAGGCUGUUUCAAAUAAAUAGCCUUGCUCUCCUUGAAUGUAUUAGUGGAGAAAAGCCAUUGAACUCCAUUGGUGUGAUAAAACCUAUCAAUGCCAGGAGCAAUAUCACUACUUCUCUCUGCUGUCUAACUGUGACUGUCUGUAUUAAUUAGUAUGGAUGGGGACAACUUGACCAACUUGACCUCAAAUCAGGUAGGACUACCCGCUGAACUUAAGCAUAUCAAUAAGCGGAGGA